ensembl:lncRNA
GGCAGGGCAGGAUGGAUAUAGGUCUGUAACAGUUUGGGUCUAGAGGCAGGGCAGGAUGGAUAUAGGUCUGUAACAGUUUGGGUCUAGAGGCAGGGCAGGGCAGGAUGGAUAUAGGUCUGUAACAGUUUGGGUCUAGAGGCAGGGCAGGGCAGGAUGGAUAUAGGUCUGUAACAGUUUGGGUCUAGAGGCAGGGCAGGGCAGGGCAGGAUGGAUAUAGGUCUGUAACAGUUUGGGUCUAGAGGCAGGGCAGGGCAGGAUGGUAUAGGUCUGUAACAGUUUGGGUCUAGAGGCAGGGCAGGGCAGGGCAGGAUGGAUAUAGAUCUGUAACAGUUUGGGUCUAGAGGCAGGGCAGGGCAGGAUGGAUAUAGGUCUGUAACAGUUUGGGUCUAGAGACAGGGCAGGAUGGAUGUAGGUCUGUAACAGUUUGGGUCUAGAGGCAGGGCAGGAUGGAUAUAGGUCUGUAACAGUUUGGGUCUAGAGGCAGGGCAGGAUCGAUAUAGGUCUAACAGUUUGGGUCUAGAGGCAGGGCAGGGCAGGGCAGGAUGGAUAUAGGUCUGUAACAGUUUGGGUCUAGAGGCAGGGCAGGAUGGAUAUAGGUCUGUAACAGUUUGGGUCUAGAGGCAGGGCAGGAUGGAUAUAGGUCUGUAACAGUUUGGGUCUAGAGGCAGGGCAGGAUGGAAAUAGGUCUGUAACAGUUUGGGUCUAGAGGCAGGGCAGGAUGGAAAUAGGUCUGUAACAGUUUGGGUCUAGAGGCAGGGCAGGAUGGAUAUAGGUCUGUAACAGUUUGGGUCUAGAGGCAGGGCAGGAUGGAUAUAGGUCUGUAACAGUUUGGGUCUAGAGGCAGGGCAGGAUGGAUAUAGGUCUGUAACAGUUUGGGUCUAGAGGCAGGGCAGGAUGGAUAUAGGUCUGUAGCAGUUUGGGUCUAGAGGCAGGGCAGGAUGGAUAUAAGCCUGUAACAGUUUGGGUCUAGAGGCAGGGCAGGGCAGGAUGGAUAUAGGUCUGUAACAGUUUGGGU